AAAUUGAAGAGUUUGAUCAUGGCUCAGAUUGAACGCUGGCGGCAGGCCUAACACAUGCAAGUCGAACGGUAACAGAAAGCAGCUUGCUGCUUUGCUGACGAGUGGCGGACGGGUGAGUAAUGUCUGGGAAACUGCCUGAUGGAGGGGGAUAACUACUGGAAACGGUAGCUAAUACCGCAUAAUGUCGCAAGACCAAAGAGGGGGACCUUCGGGCCUCUUGCCAUCGGAUGUGCCCAGGUGGGAUUAGCUAGUAGGUGGGGUAACGGCUCACCUAGGCGACGAUCCCUAGCUGGUCUGAGAGGAUGACCAGCCACACUGGAACUGAGACACGGUCCAGACUCCUACGGGAGGCAGCAGUGGGG
rnacentral:rRNA from 1 species